GUGCCAACCUGAAAGCCUUCAAGGACAGGAUCGACUGGGAGCUGCUACAGAUGAGACCGUUCCAGAGCUCCUACAACGUCUUCUGUGCAGCCAACCCCAGCCUGGACGCAUGGAACGGAGCGAGGAAGUUUGCCAUGUCGCCUCUCCUGACGGCCGGCUCCAUCACCCGCAAAGACUACGAGGAGAUGGGGGAGGGUUAUCUCAGGGAGCACGUGGCAGCCAACAAAUAUUUCCCCAACCCUCUACCGGCGGCCCAGAAGUCGUAAUUUGUUCGAACUGCAGUGACAUUGUUUUGUUUUUUUGUGUUUUUUUUUGGGGGGGGGGUUACCAACACUAGUGGUGCUGAUAAAAACAAUGUUUGUUGUUUUGGUUACAUGUAGGCCUACAUGAUAUUGUUCUAAUAAUAGUUGUUUUUCAAAAAUGCCAUCAUGUUUCAUUGUUUAUAUAUUCAUCAAUAAAAGUAUCAUUUAAACAAGGUC